AGCAAAAACUGCCCAGACUACAAGGAAAAAUACCAAGGUCGUCCUGAGGGUUUGCACCAGAAUUUUGUGAGAUAUUUGGCAGACAAAAAACAUCACAAGGCGAGUGAAAUAAAUACAUUAACGCCUGACAGACUUGAGAUGGAGUGGAGAACGGCCGAAAACAAAUUUGAUUGUGCUAUUUUUGUCAUGAGACAUAUGGAGACCUACAUGGGCGGUGGUACAGCAAAUUGGAACUCUGGUUUUCAUAGAGAGGGUGAGCGAUUAAAAAAUCAGCUACAUAGACUAAGG